UCUCAGACGUGCGGUGGGCCUUUGCCUCUCCCUUCUCCGAAGUUCUUUUGUUAGAGCUCAGUGGCUUCUGUGGCGUGUUCGCUUGCUCCGUGCAAUCCGACGCCAUCGCGUUUUGGGCGAGUGCUGCAAUGGAUAGUAGAGAGGCGGGAAUCGACCCGACGCCGAGCUGGCUUUGGCGAUGGUGGCGCGCGCUCUGGAGGACCGAUUGGUGAACGACACCAGGAGACGGCUCACUGAUGCGGAGGUGACGCAGGACCUUUUGGUGUGACUUGGCUCUAUGCAUGUGAUGCCACAGGAGCUUGACCGAGGAUGUCCCGGAAUCUUAAUUUAGCGAAUCUCUUUCUGAAAACGUUUUGCCUCGAUGAGGGAAUUAGUUCAUGAAAGAAGGGCUUGUGUUAAGGGUGAUGUCUGGAAGAGGUGUGUGGCGUUGGAGGGUGAUGUGAAAUACACAGGAAAGGAAAGAAAAGGAUGUUUUGCUUAAGAGUGUGCCAUUUGCAAAUUUAUUCAAUAAUUUGAAGAUUUAUAUAAGGUCCCGUUCUCCUCCUGCUCUAAGAAAGUGCUCUUCAUACAAGCCUGAUGGCCUGAACUAAUUCCUGGAGCCCACGUGGUGGAAGAGAGCUGACUCCCGAAAGUUAUCUUCAGAUCACAUAUACACAAUAAGAAAAUUAAAGUAAAUUUUACAAAUCAAAAUAGUAAUUAAAACAUUAGAAUGCUAUUUUACUGAAAUGUAAGCGUGAUGCAAGUGAUUAUGGAACAUCUGGAUGCUUUGUAUAGUUUUGUACAAAAUUUUACUCUUUUCCGAAAUGAGAAAGGGAUUAAAAUUGUCAAAGGAAUUGAACUCGUUAUUUGUAAUGGCAUUUUGCAGUGCCCUCAGAGCAGAUAGGGUGGUGAGCUGCCUGGUGUGGGUGCUGGAAGCUCAACUCUGAAGAGCGAGUACUGAGUCCUCUCCUGCCCAACUUCUUGUGGCUAUGAAUGUGAAAUCUUUUGCAUUCUAGAGAAAAAGCAAGAGUAAGAUGUGCCAUGUUGGAAUAUUAUGGCUGCCAAUCAAAAUAAAUUGUUGCUUCCCGAUAGAGGGCCAGCCCACUUUCGUUUUAAACAUUUCAGAAGCUGUGCCAAGUGAGGGUAGCUGCCCAAUAAAAGCGUUUGUUCUUGCAGACCCGAUUGUGCCGUUGUCUGACCUGUGCUUCAUUUGUUGUAGUAUACAAUAAACAUUGUUUUCAACUGUUCUGACUUUGUUGUCUGACCUGUGCUUCAUUUGUAGUAUACAAUAAACAUUGUUUUCAACUGUU